rnacentral:tRNA from 1 species
AGCAGAGUGGCCCAGUUGCUAAGGCACAGACAGGAUUGAGAAUCAGGAGACCUGGGUUCUCUUCCCAGCUCUGCUA